GACGAACGCUGGCGGCGUGCUUAACACAUGCAAGUCGAACGCUGAACCCGCUUCGGUGGGGGAUGAGUGGCGAACGGGUGAGUAACACGUGGGCAACCUGCCCCCGGCUCUGGGAUAACUCCAAGAAAUUGGGGCUAAUACCGGAUGUGACCGCUGGCCGCAUGGUCUGGUGGUGGAAAGGGUUUCCGGCUGGGGAUGGGCCCGCGGCCUAUCAGCUUGUUGGUGGGGUAGUGGCCUACCAAGGCGACGACGGGUAGCCGGCCUGAGAGGGUGACCGGCCACACUGGGACUGAGACACGGCCCAGACUCCUACGGGAGGCAGCAGUGGGGAAUAUUGCGCAAUGGGCGGAAGCCUGACGCAGCGACGCCGCGUGGGGGAUGACGGCCUUCGGGUUGUAUACCUCUUUCAGCAGGGACGAAGCGCAAGUGACGGUACCUGCAGAAGAAGCACCGGCCAACUACGUG
rnacentral:rRNA from 1 species